CCUCAGAAUUCUACCAGUGCACCUCAUUCAGACAUUCAUCAAGAAAAAGGCCAGCUGAAGGCAGACAGCCAACAAAACCCAGUCGUUAGCCACAGCCCUGGCUGUCCUCGUCCAUCAAGCCUGCCCAUUGGGAGCUUCCAUUCAUCUUACCUGUCUGUUAUGGAAGAGCUCAGUGAAGUGGAAAAGGCACGGAGGACUCAGAAGACCUGCUACCAAGAAGCACCCCAUUGCAAUCAGAAGAUUAUUUAUGGAAAAAAGCAAAAUGGAGAUGUUUAAAAGACUGAGAGAGACAGCAGAAAGCUGCUUAAGAAAUUGCUCUGAGUCCACAGGAGGGAAGCACAAAGGAGAUGGGAUAAUAGUGUUAUACACUACAUGAUAUCACAGAGCUGGCAGAGUUAAUGAAUAUCUUGGACAAUUGCACCAAAUGCAAUGGAUUGGGAUCACUAAAUCAAGACGUAAUUUGAUAGAAAUAAAGGUAAGGCCACUUUAUUCCAGAUACCAACUGCAAAAGAGACAAGAUAAUAGAGAAAGUUUGGGCUUAGCAGCACUAAUGAUUGAAAAAGUCACAGGGCUUUAGUUAGUAUCAGUCAACUUUAUGAAUCAGCUACCCAGAAAGGCUAAUAUGAUUUUAGGAUGCACUAAUAUAAAUGAAGUAACUAGAAUAACAAGAAAAUUGACCUUUAUUUUAUGCCAAUCAUUCCACAUCAAAUGUGCUCAGGUUAGGUGCCAAACUCUAGGAGGCUAUUC
rnacentral:lncRNA from 1 species